UGUGGCUAUUCUUUGAUGUUAUAGUGUUUUUUGGACUGAUAAUGUUACUAGAUUGGAUCGUCUGGACCUUUGGCAAUGUACCAAGACCGUUUUUGUUGGAAUGUUAUUGAUCUGUGGAUUAAUAUGAAGCUUCUUAGGAGGAGGCUGCCAGCUCUCUUCUCCUGCAUCGCCGAGGGGGAAGCCUGGCAUCUUCUCUUCCCUAACCAACGAAAGGAGGUCAGAGGUGCAGCUUCCAACUCAUGUCUUCAAGAAAACCUCCACACAUCUCAAGCUCUUUCAAACUCCUAGUGUAACGGAUGUAAACAGUCCAGAGGCUGAGCACCAGACACUGGAGCCGACGGUGAGGACAAAGGAUUGUAAAACUUUUGGAGGGAAAACAUUCUCCAGCAGGCCUGAGAAUCUCCCCCUGGUGGUUGGAAAAUGUCCUGAAGCGCCUUCAGGACCCCCGCUGAGUUCCAAGCCCCGCCCACUGAGGUCCAACUCUGACACUCAAUUGGCUUAAAGCCAGCAUCAUCCUAUGACCAGCACCUCAAGGAGGCAGAACCUCUCAGGUAGAAUAAAAUCACUGAGACAUCAAUAAUCGCUGCCAUUUUCCCUGCUCUGAAGACGUCAACAGACCCCUCCGGGUCUUUCCAGAUGAUUUAGUUGCUAAAGGGGGCAACCAGAGUUAUUUUCUUUAAUUUCUUUAUUUUCUUUUAUCUUAAGUUUGAUCUUACUUUGAUAGAGACUAUUUUUGUUUUUAACUUGAAAAGGCCGUGCACAGGAACUCACUCGCUCGCUGGCCGAGCUCAGAGACUUUCUUUCCAAAUCUACAGCUGCGUCAACCGCUGCUCAUCCCUGCAGAAGAGACGAAGCCGAAUUCCGUUCCAAGAGCAGGAGAAUUCUUUCUAUUCGGUCCAGCGCUGACCUCCGUUGCAACCACGAGACCCACCGGAGCACCGCUUAAGAGGCCAGGACACUGAUUUGUUUUCCAGGAAUCCGCCCGUUCGCACGCAUCCUGAGGUUUAACGACAGAUUCACUGGACUUCCGGGAAAUCCGCGCCCAACGCGCAAGCAACACCGCGGAGGUCACAGUAAGAGGCUUUAUUGUCUGGGCAGAGACUAGUUUAAAUACUUAGCGUGUCAUUUGUUUGAUUGUAUGUUUGUUUGUAGAUCGCUGAUCUGUUUUUAGCCGUGCUACACGGCGGGCCAAGACGACACAUCCGGUUCCUUUGUUUACUGCGUUUUUUUGAGAAGAGCGCGGUACAGAGCCGGCGCUUCCUUUUUGCAUGUUACCGUCAGAGAUAUUGUGCGGAGAUUUACAUCUGUUAAAAGAUAAAUCUCACGUAACUGGUCUGCUUCGCUGGAAGUUUGUCUCUGACAAUGUUUUGAGAGCUUUCCUGAUCUCUCUCUCUCUCUCUCUCUCUCUCUCUCUCUCUCUCUCUCUCUCUCUCUCUCUUCUCUUAAACCUAUUUUUACACACGUCCCGACCUACAUUUAUACAUUUCAUGUUACAUGGAGAAAUCUAGAUUUAACGAGCAUUUAUACAUCUCGACGCCAUUCGGCGCCAAAACCACGAGAUAAGAAAUCUCUUUGUCUUAAAGAUCCCGUUUGUUAAGGUCAGUGACCGGCAGCCAUUUUGCUUUUCGCAACGUGGCUUCACUAAGGUAACCUCCAUCUUGAAAGUACGUGAAUGUAACAUCACCUUGAAUUCGGCCAGAGGACGUCACCACGUCAUUACGCCAUAGCCACUCCCCUUUCUCUUUCUUACACACACACAGACAGGCAGACACACACGACCACACACACACACAUAGAUACUCCGUAUUACAUGUGUGACAAUUGUGAUAAGUGCUGCUGCUGUUGUUACCAUCUUUGAAAUAUUGGAGUUUGUUAAAUGAAGAAUCAUUGAAAUAACAUUAACUUUAUUUCCCCUUUUUAAUAAAUACUUUUGUAAUUAAA